CGGGGUGUGGCGCAGCUGGGAGCGCGCGUCGUUUGGGACGAUGAGGUCGCAGGUUCGAUCCCUGUCACCCCGACCA
rnacentral:tRNA from 1 species